UGAGCACUUUGCAAACUUCAUUUAAAUUACCCAUUUCCCCUUUAGAAUAACGAGCGUGUAAUUCAGCGAAAACGAACAAACGCAAACACCGAACCAAAACAAAGAGCAAAAUUUCACUAAAUUCGAACCGCAAGUCAACCAGACAUAGAACAUUUUUCGGGACGAUUUGAAUAAACGUCGGUUAAAAAUGAAACGCACGAAAAGAUGACAGCCAGAUUUUGAUUUGGUGCGGAAAAGGUGGUACGUCUGCUAGAAAAAGUCACCGAAAUUUCCGACAGUGGUUCUUUUUCGUUCGGCCUUGCUGCUUGCAACAAGUGUCGGUGUCGGUGCGAUCAAAAGUAAAACGCGUGUCGAGGAAAGGCGUGUCAUUAGUGCCAAGAAAUAGGGGUAACUCGUGCAGGAGCACUCGGCUACCUUCGGAGGAAAAGCGCCCACUGAAAAGAGGUUGCAAUCAACCGUGGGUCUGGAGCCGCAGCUGGAACAGCAGAACAUAACCUCAAAAGGGGUCGGAAGUGUAAGUUGCCCCAAAACAAAUGUUCCGACAAUCCUUCCUGAUUAGAAAACUUUCCACCUCUAAACAGGACCCCUCUUUUAUCUCUACCUUGGAUGGUAUUCUGAUUCUUCGACCCGACCGAAGCUAACAAAAAUAGCCCGAAAAGAAACUGGCUGUUUAGCGCACGGACAUCACUUUCGCAGGAUCAACCAUUCGAUUUAAAUUUGGCCACCACUACUUCUACGUGUGAGGGGAGAAAGCUUGUUUUCAUCUGGAGCGACAGCCACGCAACCUGUUAGGCUGUUGUGUUCCGGAAAUCCAACCAACCAGAAGAUUUCAUUUUUCGUGACUGGUUCAUCGUUCAUCGCGCACGGAGGAAAAAGUCGCAGCAAGAAUCCGAACGCGUGGGGCACAGGCGUGCUCAAAGGAGGUGCUAGUCAUGCAUCAGUCCCGGGGACCAUUGAACGGGAUUCUAGCGAUGGCGGGACCAACAACAACAAGCAUCGCUCCGAGCAUUGACCUGGGCAGAAUGCCUGAUCCGACUCAUGGAAGGAAGUGGCCCGAUACAGGACCAACAAGGCUGGAAAUCGACAAAAUUCCACCCAAGGAGGUCGGGCCGAAUUGCCAGAAGAGGCAACAUGCAGAUCCCGUGUAAGUCGUUUGAUGUUCGAUAAUUCUGGGGGGGGAAUCAAUAAAUGGGACUAAAUUUUGUAAAAUUCAA